CUGUCGCCCCAACACACUUACCAGCUGCAUGCCACAGAUGAAGGCCAAGGUGCACCUGCCACUACAGCAUCCCAUGAUGUCCUGCUCCCAAUCUGCUG